rnacentral:rRNA from 1 species
CCUACGGGAGGCAGCAGUGGGGAAUAUUGCACAAUGGGGGAAACCCUGAUGCAGCGACGCCGCGUGAGUGAAGAAGUAAUUCGUUACGUAAAGCUCUAUCAGCAGGGAAGAAACACUGACCUUACGGUCAGCAGACGGUACCUGAGUAAGAAGCCCCGGCUAACUACGUGCCAGCAGCCGCGGUAAUACGUAGGGGUCAAGCGUUAUCCGGAUGUACUGGGGGUACAGGGAGCGGAGACGGUGCGCCAAGUCUGGAGUGAAAUGCCGGAGCUUAACUGCGGAACUGCUUUGGAAACUGGCGAACUAGAGGGCGGGAGAGGUAAGCGGAAUUCCGAGUGUAGCGGUGAAAUGCGUAGAUAUUAGGAGGAACACCGGUGGCGAAGGCGGCUUACUGGACCGUAACUGACGUUGAGGCUCGAAAGCGUGGGGAGCAAACAGGAUUAGAUAGCCUAGUAGUC